AUUGAACGCUGGCGGAAUGCUUUACACAUGCAAGUCGAACGGCAGCAUAGGUGCUUGCACCUGAUGGCGAGUGGCGAACGGGUGAGUAAUACAUCGGAACGUGCCCAGUCGUGGGGGAUAACGUAGCGAAAGUUACGCUAAUACCGCAUACGAUCUAAGGAUGGAAGCGGGGGACCGUAAGGCCUCGCGCGAUUGGAGCGGCCGAUGUCAGAUUAGGUAGUUGGUGAGGUAAAGGCUCACCAAGCCGACGAUCUGUAGCUGGUCUGAGAGGACGACCCGCCACACUGGGACUGAGACACGGCCCAGACUCCUACGGGAGGCAGCAGUGGGGAAUUUUGGACAAUGGACGCAAGUCUGAUCCAGCCCUUCCGCGUGCAGGACGAAGGCCUUCGGGUUGUAAACUGCUUUUGUACGGAACGAAAAAGCUCUUACUAAUACUAGGAGUCCAUGACGGUACCGUAAGAAUAAGCACCGGCUAACUACGUGCCAGCAGCCGCCGCAG
rnacentral:rRNA from 1 species